UACGUGAGGGGCGAACGUUGUUCGGUGUCACUGGGCUUAAAGGGCGCGUAGGUGGCUGUGCAAGUAAGGUGUGAAAGCCCUCGGCUUACCCGGGGAAUUGCGCCUUAAACUGCAUGGCUUGAGGGUCUCAGGGGAUAGGGGAACUCCAGGUGUAGCGGUGAGAUGCGCAGAUAUCUGGGGGAAGGCCGGCGGCGAAGGCGCCUAUCUGGGAGAUACCUGACACUGAGGCGCGAAAGCGUGGGGAGCAAACAGG
rnacentral:rRNA from 1 species